CAGUGUCAGAAGAGGCAUUAACCCGUGCUUCUCUGUAACACUUACAGACACUUCAACACAGACAGCUCAUCACAAGGCUGAACCUCACUGGAGCUUCAGAAUCUGCAGCAAUCACAAAAUGAUCAGCAAAGAAGACGAGAGUCAAUCAACUGAAGCAGGAGAGAAACAGACACGGAGACAAGUUACACGGAACAGCAUUUAUGGAGACAGACCAAACUACUGACCUGCAGAGAUUCAUUCUGAGGAUUCAAAGACAGACGCU